UCGGCGACCGGCGCACGGGUGCGUAACGCGUAUGCAACCUACCCAUUACAGGGGGAUAACACUGAGAAAUCGGUACUAAUACCCCAUAACAUCCAGGGAGGCAUCUUCUUGGGUUGAAAACUCCGGUGGUAAUGGAUGGGCAUGCGUUGUAUUAGUUAGUUGGUGGGGUAACGGCUCACCAAGACGACGAUACAUAGGGGGACUGAGAGGUUAACCCCCCACAUUGGUACUGAGACACGGACCAAACUCCUACGGAAGGCAGCAG
rnacentral:rRNA from 1 species